GAGCAUUUUAUUUUGGAAGCCAGAAGUUUGAGAACAAUGACUGGAAUUUCCUCUUUCUGUCCAGCAAGAGCUGUUUGUCACUGGGGAGAUAAAAGUCCAAGGCCAGAUGCACCCAGCUGGACUCCUUGGAGCUGAGCCCUGCAGAGGGAGAUUUGCACUGGGGCUGCGGGGCUAGGAACUGAUGUGGCCACUUCUCCAUCUUCAUCCCAUGCAUCCUGACUGCACUGGCUGUUCUAGAAGACAAAAGUAUCUUUCAGCAUCUACCAACCGACCAACUACUGGGUGCUGCCUCCACCAAUCCAG
rnacentral:lncRNA from 1 species